GGUACAAAUGGCGUUCGUGGUGAG
rnacentral:siRNA from 1 species